UAGUAUUAGUUAUGUUCUUGAAAAUUAAAAAAGUUGGCGGUAUUUUAGUCUAUUUAGAGGAACCUGUUCUAUAAUCGAUAAUCCACGAUUUGAUUUACUUAUUGUUUAAGUUUGCAUAUCGCCGUAGAUUGAAUAUUUUUAAAGAAAAAGAAAUGUUCAAUAAGUUUAUAAAAAAAGAAUUCAGGUCAAGAUGUAGCAUAUAAAUAAGAAGAGAUGGGUUACAAUAAAUUUAUUUAUAAUGAAUUAAUAAAUUUAAUUUUAUAAUGAAGGUGGAUUUAAAGGUAAU
rnacentral:rRNA from 3 species